GUCGGUCCGGCGCUGCGUGACCACACGGCGGGUACUUACUCCUCUCACUCGGGUAUUUUCUGCCUUUUUUUGUAUUGUUUUAGGCUUUUUUUGUGCCUUUUUGCUUCCUGUUUUUCUAAUUUUAGUCAUUUUUAGCAAUUUGUCCUCUCUGGGCCGUUUUGAGGCCGUUUUGGGUCGCUGCGGUCCUGCCUCGGUGGAGAGCGGGGAGGGCCGAAGGGCUCGAGCCCUGAGUUUACCAAAAAGCCACGUUUUCCACUCAAAAUCCCACUGAAGGGAUCCGGCCGAGCGCCGCUGCCGGAAGGGCCUGGCGCCAGCUGCUCAUUUUGAGGCACUUUGGGCCUUUUUUUAUAUUUUUGCUUUUUUUUUUCCUUGGUGAAUCCAGAGGGGAAAAACCAAGCAAAAUUGGGGCUAAAUUGGUAAAAUUACACCCUCCCUGGGCGAAAAACCACCACCGCCACCUGGAUGCUCCACGCCCCCGUUUUUUUUUGGGUUCAAACCACCAGAAAUACCUAUUUUUUUUUCUCCCUUUCCUACACGUUUUUGGGAGGUUUUGCUGCCGGGCUCUGCCUUUUUCGGGUCGGGCGUCCUCGUUUUUGGGGCAUUUUCCUGCGGUUUUCACUGAGCUGUGCGGAGAAGCCGGGAACCAGCGCCCAGCAGACCCAUUUUUGGCCUUUUUUCCCCCAAAAAGGCGGCGGGGUCGUUUUGGUCUUUUUUUACGCUCGCUCCUAGCGGGGGUUAACCGAAGCUCCGGGGACAAGCCACAAUCCUGAUUUUCCAGCUCCAUUUUUGGGGUUAAAAAGCUGCUUUUCUUCCAAGCUGCCACUGCCUCCUACCUCUGCAUCUGUGAAAAGGCCGGAAAACACCCCAAAAAAAGCCCCCCCCCCCCCCCCCCCCCCUCCCCAGCACAGCCAGACCCCUACCCCCGACCGAGCCAGCU
rnacentral:lncRNA from 1 species